AGUGGGCAUGGUGGUGCUUGCCUGUAAUCCCAGCAACUCGGGAGCUGAGAAAGGAGGAUCCCAAGUUCAAGGCCAGCCUCAGCAACUUAAUGAGGCCCUAAGCAACUUAGUGAUACCCUGUCAU
rnacentral:sRNA from 1 species